CCAGAUCAGAGCGAUCUCUGAUCCCAGACGACCAACAGAUCGGUACCAUGUGAGAACGAAGGAGAGAACCGCCGCGAACAACAGAACCCGGACGAGCGUGUCGCUGAGCUGAUCCAUCAGGAGCUUCAGGAUCGACUGAUCCUCGUGCUUCUCCAGUUCGUUCCAUCCGUACACCGCCCGGCGCUUCUCGACUUCCUCCUCCGACAGCCCCGAGGCUCUGCUGACCUUGAACUCGUCCUCGCAUUCCUGAAGAAACUGAACCUAUAUUGGAUGAGGCUGCGGUGCAAAAUAUAUUUUUAAAGUCCCUAGACAACUAUAUAAAGUGGUGUAACUACUUGUGCAUUCAGCCAGUUUGGAGCAAUUUGCAGUCAGUUAGGAAGGAGAAAAAGC